CGCAACACCACAGCCACCUCCGCGCACGCCGCCGCCAAACCGCCGCUCCGCCCGACGCUGCGCACGCCGCGCACGCUGUCGCGCACAUCGCCACCGCCGUCUCCAACGCGACCCAUCGCCUCCGCUACCAGUGCGAACCGCCGCCUCCAGCUGGACCCGUCACCUCCGCUACCAGCGCCAACCGUCGCCGCCUACCAACGCGGACCCUCGCCGCCCGGCCGUCCCUGCCGCCACCGGCGCGGGCCGUCGCCUCCGCCACCGGCGCGGACCCUCUCCGCCCGGCCGUCUACGACGCCUUGCCCUUCGCAAGGACGCCGCCACCACCUGCCAAAGUCUAACUGCUCCUCGAGGCUGCAGUUCUACAUCAAAUUUGAUGAUUCUAAAUGGUUGUGGAAGAGCUUCAAGUUUGUUACUGAUGGUGUGUACUGUGUAGUCCAAAUCAUCUAAAAAUAAAGAUAGUACCGGAUGUUACAUACUAUUAACACCACCUUAUCCUCAUGGGAGUUGCUGCUAGAGCCGGCGAAUCCAAGAAGAGGGGAUCGGUCGCCGCAUGUCGUCCUCGCUUGCCACGACGCUGCCUGAGGCGGAGGCGCUGCUGGCCCGCGCAAACGCAUGCCAAGGCCGGCACCGAUCCUCACACUCGCCCUGCCAAUCCCGUGAUUGCAUAUAUCGACUGCUCUAUUACAGCUUACAUGUCCGCCUUCCUAUUCCAUACCGAGUUGAUCAUGUACAAGACGGACGAGCAGAUAAAGAAAGAGGUGGAUCUACCUUUCUGAUAGUGCAAAAAGGUGGACAUUAAACUCAGAAUCUUGGCACUGUAAUUAUCUUCAGCCAGUGCAGAACCUGAGCCACCAAAACAAAGGUCUUUGAAGGUUCUGCAUCUCAACAUAGACUAAGUUGCCUACUGUUUCUAUGUAUUGUCUUUUCCAGUGUAGUUCUUUCUGAUAUGGGCCUCCUACGUAUAAAUAUUUUAGAAACAUUUUUUUAUUUCAAACACAACAUUAUCUUUCAUUGAGUCUACUCAUUGGUCAUAUUUUUCAAAGGAAGACAUAUCAAGUGUCAUAUUUGUAGCAGAUUUGGUAUUUGAACUGAUUGCGCCAUUUCGGUUCAACAACCUGAAAAUUCUGCCUCUACUAUAUUCUUUUCUAAUUUAUUUGACUGUCCUGGUUGCAUCAGAAAUGACUACACAAUUUUUUAAUGGUGCUGGCAUGGAUUUACCACCUUGAAAUAUUGGUUGUUGCUAUUGUUAAUUCUAUACAAGUUAUUCCAGUGAAACCAUGUUUGUAGUUAACGAGGACCUUGAAUAUUUUCUUCACUCUCCAUAGCCAGGAGCUGUGACAUGUAUCCUCUCUCAUAACUGGUGAAAAAAUUGUGAGGCAUAUCCCACAUUCUGAACUAUCUGUCAUAUGCACAUUGUGAAUUAUAGGCCUUUCUUCUCUCCGAGGUAGGGAUGCCUCAGCAGGCAAGCGUAAGAUUUAAGAAAAUAAAAAUGCAGAAGAUGAAAAUUUGCGUUCUGAAACUACGAUUUCUGUUACUGUGACUUAUGCCAGCCUUUUAUAUGCUCACCCAGAUUGAAGAAUUGUUUUUUCAACCCAUAUUGGCUUUAUUAAUCGUCCUAUAAAGUUACACUCCCGCGCGUACUUCAUGAUGUAACAAGGUUAUUCAAUGUUGAAUAUUAUCUUUUGGGGCCGUUAAAAAUUCUUAUAUAUAUAUUAUCUAACAAUGAUCCUACUACCACCAUUAAAUUAUUAGACUGCAUAUCUUCUGAUUUGUGCUGGUGUUCAUAUUUUCUUUGCGAAGUAUCUUUAUUUCCUUUUUGUGUGAUACCACUAUAAUGGAAAUGAGUAGAUGCGAGUAGCUUCUCAAGUCUAUUUCAUACCUUAUUUCCUCACCUCAAAUAUAUUGCUACAUUAUGAGGGAUAGCAUAUUCUGAUUUUUCUCUCUUGCUAGAAAAAGUUAAAUUGCUACGAAACCAAUUUAUAAAUAAAGAAAUAUCUAAUCAAAAACCACAUGAGGCAAUUUAUCCAUGUCGGCCCUAUGAAACACGAUGCAAACUAAUAUAUGUUAUGAAGAGUAUUUUUAUCAUGAAAUAAUAGUUCAAUCUCCCAAAUGGCUCAAUCAUUGGUAUUUUGUAUUUAAAAUUUAUACAUGAUACCCUAUAUCAAUUGAGUGUCAAGUUCAUAUGAUAUGUUAUGCAUAACAUACUGUAUCAAGUGUAGUUAUAAAUAAUUUGUAACUAAAUUUGUGGCUUUACCUUAAUUUUUUUACUAUUAAGGUUAACUGUAAAUUAUUUGUUAAAUGUUUCUCACGUCGAGACUUAUGUCAGCCCAGCUGAAGCUGAUAUUUUCAGUGUCACUUUAAAAUAUCAUUGCCACCAUCCUCACAUUUGAGCCAAGCCGGAUAUGCUGGCAGUUUUGUGUUCUCAAAGGUAACGAUUACAAACAAACAUUCUCUAUUAGUUUUUUUUUUCCUAACUACUUGUUUUGUUACGUUCUAGGUGUCAGGAAACACAUGAGAGUUGAGACAUGUGUGUGUGAAACAAACGUUUAAUUCAAACUUCAGGCCUAAUGUGUGUGAAUUUUUUUAUAAUUAAUGUCGAUUUUUUUUAAAGUUGCUUGUUACCUAAAUAUUUCAUAAGUAUGUUAUCAUGUACAUGUGUAAUUUUUUUGUGGAAGUUGCCGAUUUUGUAAUCAUAUCAAACAUGUUCCAUGAUUUGCUAAUAUAUGCCUUGUAUUACACGUGCUUGUCACGUGCACUUUUACUAGUCUUCAAAAAGAACUGGACAACACUCCCCACUCUGUAGCUCUCUCUCCCACCAACUGUACCUGCUACCUCCCACCGCCCCCGCAAGGUCCCCUGCUCGCCAGCUCCCUCGGUUGACCUCAUCGGGCCGCCCUCCCCUUCAUCCCACCGCAGACGUUAGGACUCGUACACCCCCUGCUCUUCGCCGCCUCUCCUCAUCGAAUCCGUUCAUCAAAGAGUCCGGGGAGGCGCUGCCACUCGGCAUGCUCGCGGCCUCGCCGGCGACCCAGAGCUAGGGGCCGACGGAGGCGGACGCGGAGGCGCGCGCCUCGUAUCCACCGGAUAGGAAGCUGCGGACACCACGUGUUGGAGGGCUUCACAACGCUGCCCGUCCCCCUGCAGAAACAGCCGAUGAGUCGGAGCAAUCACCGAGGGACGCCGUCGAGGACGACCUGCUCCAGCGGGCUGCCCAUGUGGCGAGCGUUCUGGGCACCACCAAACCAGCAUCGUGUGCAGGUACUUCAAUCCUGUUUGGCGGUUCAUUCAAGUGGAUACCUUGGUGAAAUCCCACGUGGAAUUUCCAAAAAUCUUAUGUUUUUCUACCUACAUCCUAUGUUCAGCAAGCUGUUGUUGGCAGGAGGCCAGCCCUGCCAAUAUUGGGGACUGGCUUCGCCACUAUAGAUGGAAAUGUGGGUAAUUAUUCUUGUCAUUACACCCUGUAUAAUUUUAUUUGUCCAUAGGUGUGCCUUUUCAAGAUCUGUUAGCAUCUACAGUAGUUUUAGUUGUAUACAAGUGUGCAUAGCAGAAAAUAGAUUAUCUAAACCAUGCACCAAAUUUGGUAGCCUUAGUGUCGCUCAGAUUUGGGCCUGUCGACUUCCAUGUCGGAUCAGUAGUGCUAUAAAAUGGGCUGUAAGUAUAGAAUGAUUAAUAACCUUUUAUUGUCAGGUUGGAGCUUCUUUUUGGCAUCACCAAAGGGACAAAUCGUCCAAGGAAAUGAAUACAUAGUUUGAUAGUAAACUCGGAGUCCAAAUCCUAUCGAUAGGUCAUAGUAACAAUGCAAAAAUGCCAAGAUUAGAAAGUAAAUACAAAUGUAAUUGGAGUGUUGUGCCAGGGAACCAAUACCAAUGAAACAAUCGGGAAUAUACUGUUUUGGCUAAUGCAUCUCUGCUAGCAAGUGUAGAGAUUACGUGGUCUAGUAAUAAUUUCUUCAGAGGUAACUAUUGCCCGUGUAAUCAGCGUCUUCUCCAAAUUAUUGCAAUCACACCUGCAAAAAACUUUAGUGGUCAGCAUUUUGAUUGGUUGUCACACAGAAAAUGUAUGUAGAAAAUAAAUGUAGAAAAUGACCUUUGAAAGGAGAGAAUGUACUCACUCCAAUAUCUCUACCGAAGUGUUAAGGUGAAACCUGCAGUUAUCAUCCUUAAUCUCCGAUGAAUCAACUUCUAUUCUGUAGGAAAAAGUUUAUAUUUCCAAUAUAAAGUACAGAUGCUACAGCCCUGAAUAAAGCUUCCUAUAAAAUCCAGACACUGUUCAAUCCAGUAAAACAUGGCAGAUGCAUACUCAUCACCAGCCAUAUUUAGUGUUUUAGCUCGUCUCUGUAAUCUCAGGGAUUAGCUCCACAAUGUCCCUGUGUGAAGUAAUUUGUUCAACAACUCAGUUUAUAAGCAUCUUUAGCAAGUAUACAAACCACAAAUAAUAGAGGAAGUCCAUAAGUGCAAGUACUUUAGUUUUAUUUGAUGUAUCACUACUCCCUCCGUUCCAUAAUUUUUGUCGCAAAUUAGAUACAUCCAAAUCUGGGGCAAGAAUUAUGGAACGGAGGGAGUACUAAAUUUGGAAUGCACAAGCAUAUACAACACUAAUCAAAAUAUGAACUGCAGCAUAAACCAAGAAGACUACUCAACUUAAUUAGACUCCAUGUGUACACCUGGUCUUGGAGUUUGAAAGAAAACAUCCUCUUUUAGAAGAAUAUAAAGCAUUCUUCUGCAAAGACAAUUCUACAACCUCUGAGCAGCAAACAAAGUGAAUACAAAGCAAAAGAACACAUUGUGUUGAUAAUACACCUUAAAAUAAAUAAGUUAAAAUAGCAUCAUGGAAGCUGACAUCCAAAAGCUUUCUAGGAAUAAAAGUUUGCUGAAUCCACUUGAACAACAGAAGCACAAAUUUAUAUAUACGGAACAAUGGGAUUAAAUAGUAUCGCACAAUGCUUUGAUGGUCAGACAAUAAAAGGAAACGAAAAUAGAGGCGCUGCAGCCUUCUCCAUAAUCAGACCAAUUCCUUCUGUAAACAUUUUUUUCUUUUCUUUUUGAGGAAUCACAUGUGAGGGCAUAUCAUGAUUGCUUCCAUGCCUCAAUUCGUACACAUUAAAGAAGUUGUAGUAAACCGAUUUGGUUGGCAUCAUGUCAUGAUCUAACAAUAUAGCUUCGAUGGUCGCAAAUGUUUCAUUGGUAGACGAUUUAACAAAACCCCACCAUUGAUACCUUCAAAUUUCUGCGUGGAAUCUGUGUGUAGGGAUGCAGGACCCAGUUGUCAAGGAGACCCCCGCCUUGGA